ACAGCACAGCACUGCUCAACCAAUCAUGGGUCGCAGCAGUUUUGCCAUCUCUGCCAGUGAUUGGCGAGCGGCACUGUCAUUCCCCAGCUGUAGACAAUACGCUCUGCAGCUCAGGGGAAAGCAUAGUCACAGGUUCCGGACAAGGGUGCCAUAAUAACGGAGCUACAAGAGAGCGGAGGAAGAACUAUUUUGAAGCACAUCCUCCUGACCAUAACAUGUAGUUACACGUGAGUCCUGCGACCUGUGUCUACAAGUCUGCACUUAACAAGAGUAAAAAGCUGCAAGGCAUAAACGGUCAGCUGACAGGUCUGCACGCGUGGCCGGUCCCCAUCUACGACCACGGGAGGCCGCAGUCUGUGAAAAAACCAGAAGUCCCACACGCACAGCCCAGGUACCCCUCGCUCAUAAAUCCUGUACAAGGGGUACCCCUUUCACCCUUUGAGGGUACAGUUGUGAUAAAGGUUGAG